GAUGCAAUGCAUACUUCGGCUUCUUACUUUCUGAGUCUCGUCUUUCUUUUCCUGUUUCAGCGUAUCUGUGAGGUUCACCAGUUUAUCCAUGGCCUCCACCUGAACACAAACAUGCAUACACCCUGUGGAUCAACCAAUCAAGGACCAAAUAGCGAAAGAAGGACCUCACCUGUCGGUUCAGGUGUUUAAGGUACAUGCCGCAGGCUCUGCAGAACGCCUCCAGCAGCAGGCCAAAGCGACGCGACACCGUCUUGUUGUGCAUCUCGGACCUGCUGACAACAAAAAUGUAUUGGUUUCACAUGUUGGCCUCACAAGUUGCCCCCCUUUUGCCUCGUCGCUCACUUGAGAUGCCAGAAAAAGAAGUGUCCAAUCCUCUGAUUGGUCAAGGCUUUCUUGAUCAGGAAACGGGCCAACGGGUUGUCCAGGUACAUCUCGUACUUCAACACCUGAAAGCAUAGUAAAAUGAUACUUCUGCUUGUGUCACAAGAACUGCAUUUUACCUUUCCCUGAGUCUGAGCAGCGAACCUGUACGAGCUGCAGCAGGUACUGAGACAGCUUGUCGUCCGUCAGACUUUGGACCAGGCAACGCAGUGCAAACUCUCUCACCAUCGGGUCGGGGAAGUUACAGUCCAGCAAUUCCAGAGCCGACUCGGACUCCAUCAGAGGCCACUCCUUCAACAGGCAGUACAUCUGGUGGUGGGGGUUCAUAUUGAAUCGCAACAGUCGGUCUUGUUAGCAGACACAAGAAGUGAGUCCAGUCUGUCUGUUCGAGAACAAUAGCAAAAGGUGGAGGUGUGAAGCCGACUGCAUGCAUGUCUGUGAGAGGAAGGUACCACCCUACCCUUUGAGACCACCUGACUGCCUUUCUGACUCGAAUUGACUUUGCCUUGACUCAGGCCUGAGCUACAGUACAUGAUACUGAUGUAACGGAGCAAGAUUGUCUGAUUUAUGACUCACUUAAUCCACUUAAAUGACUCGACUUGCCUGAAAUGUAGUGGGGAAUGGACUGGAUUUGACUUGCUUAAAACUUGAAGGUUAAAACAUGUGCCUUGCACGCUGAAUGUGUGCCUUACUCCCACGUCCCACCUUUGGAAAUUGGUUGUACAGCGCCUACCUGAGAUACUUCAUCCCUGGAAUUCCACUUGACGGAAAGAAGCAGCUUGGGAAGGGACUCUGGAAUAUUGACACAGUAAUGUCUGCAAAGGAGAGAUACCCACACAUAUAAAAUAGUAAGAUGAGCCCCUUGGUUGCGUGCGUGGAAAGUUCAGUCCUUACCGGUGUCUCCACAGGAAGUCCUUCUCUUGUUCCGAAAGUUCAUAAAGAGGAUCUUUAGAGCAGAGACUUCGAAGCUGCUCUGCGUCUGUCGCUGAAACACUGCUGUCACAGGCCAAACGACUGCUCUACAAUACAGUGAGACAGGCUCUAUCUGUAUGUCUGACUGUCCUUCUGCCAGGCCAUGUUUGUGUGUGUGUGUGUGUGUGUGUUUGUUACCAGGCCAUGUGUGUAGUUGAAGCCUAGCUCCCUGCUGAUGAUCCAGUUGGCAUGUUCUUCAAUUUGCUGCUCGUCUGGAAACACAACUGGCUGGUUGAACCAGGAGAACUCGAGUUCUACACAGGGAGACUCCUGGAGAUAAACAAGAAACGAGCAAUUGGGAGAGGUAAUCUUGGCCCCAAGGCCAGAUACAAAAACCCCAGGUGCGUACCUUGUUAGGAUUGGAACCGGCCACCCCGAUGGGGUUCAGCAGGUCCUCGAGGCCGUGAGGGACGGGCCAUAAACUGAGCGCCACUUUCCCUGAAACCAGAAUGUCCUUAUAGUCGAAGAGGUUCACGUUUCCCCAGGCCAGUGGACAGUGUUCCUGAUGGACAAAUGGACAGAGACAUUCAUUGGGUGGGUUCUCCUCUUCUCUUCUCAAACUUCCUGUUUCCUUUCCUACCUCCUUGGCUCCUUUCCUUCCCUUCACAGAGCAGAUAGACAGGCAGAGUCGGGCUGAGCGAGGCAGGUCUGCCAGGUAGAUGUCGUAGGUCAGCCAUUCGUUCCACCUAUGUGUUAUGCAGGGGUGGCAAAAGUACUCAAACUGUACUUAAGUAGAAGUCGAAGUACAGAUCCUUGUGUAAAAAAAGACUGGUAAAAGUAGAAGCACUGAUUCCACUCGUGUACCAAAGUUGCAGUAAAAAGAUCAAGUAAGUGUCGCAAGUCAGUGUUCAGUGUGACUUACCUCGGGUUGGAGCAGGGGACUCUUUGUGUGUUGACGUUGUCGCACAGUGGUUCUCCUCCAUGAUAAAUCCCCGUUCUUACGUAGAUCUACACACAUCAUUAGACAAGAGUCAGACAAAGAUGGCCUGUCUUCAAAGACAGGCAGACGGACCUUGUCGAUGUCUCGGAUGUUGACGUUGACGUAGGUGGCGCAGAGCAGUCGGACCCUCAGCCGGGUGUUGAAGGCCCAAAGCGAGCGCGGUGGAGAGCCGUCGGACCCUCCCGGACAGGGAGACGGCUGCGGAGUCCGGCGACUGAAACCCAAGCCAAAGUCUUCUACCCGGCUCUUGAUUGGUUCUCUGUUUGAGCGGCAGCCUUACCUGUAGGAAGGCGUGACGAAGCUUGAGGCGGGAAGCUGACAGUACAGACUGUCCUUGGAGACCAGCAUGAGGUGAGGAAGACGACCUACGAUGAUACAGGAGCGGAUGUACUGCGGGCAGACGGACGUCACAGAUGAGACCGUUUGUUUUUUGACCCUACUACAACAUGGACCUCAAGGUACUCGUCACAGCCACACACCUGAGGAGAUAGGCGUGUGAAUUCAGACGGCCAUGGUGAGAGUUGAGUUUCCAGGUUUACCUUCAGGAUGUACUGGCCCUGGUACUCCUGUACACAGAGGCGGAGCUGCUGAGGGGAAAGGUGCAUGGAUCUGCUCUUCUUCCUGAUGGACUCUGCUAUCAGCUGUUCAGGAAGGCUGUCGUGGCUCACCUGUACAUGCCGAGGAAAAGAGAGGAAGAAGUACAAGAAGGUCAGAUGAAGGUCAGAUGUUGGUGCUCCUGCAGACCGUAUUGGUGUUUGUGCCGCUCAAACAGCUUGCUGAGAUGCUCCAGGUAGACUUCAUGAAGCGCGUCGAUGUCCUCACUGCUCGGGUUGGGACUAGUUGCAACCGGGAUGGGCUUCCCGACUGCAAACAGACACACCGCUGAGUGGCGCGGAGAAACGGACGCGGACCUCGGGAGGGGCUCAUGUCUCGAAGGGUCGUACCGACUGCGGUCCUGUCACAGAACAACAGACUUCAUGUCCCUGCAAGACUCUUCAAGAUCCUAAAAAGUCCUACAAGUCACGUCGUAUGUGGUACUAUGGCAUCUAGACGGACCUGGAGUGUCCUGAGAGGAGAGCCGGUCGGGUUCCGAAUCUGAUCAAACAGCUCGUUUUCUCCAAAUGAAAUGACGGGAACCAGUUGAGCUCUGCGCACGUGCACAUGCGCGCGCACACAAAUAGAAAUACAGAACCUAGCGUGUCAAUGUGCUUGUGUUAACUCGCCGAGCUCCCCGACCCGCAUGCUGAAGUCACAAACCCGUGUCUCAGCGCCAGUUUGAUGAAGCCCUUCCUUUUCCGCAGCUGUAAAAAGAAGACACUUUUUUGACACGGACGUUUCGUGUCCCUACAAGUUCCAUCACAUCCCCAUAAAGUCAUCUCCUGUCAAGUCUUCUUUCGUCACUACAACAAGUCAUGUCCCUACAAGUUCCUAUAAGUCUGUUCAUGUCCCUACAAGUCAUAAGGCUAUACGUUUCUUCAUGUCCCGAAGAGGCUCUUCAUUCUCCGCCAAGUCAUGUCACCCCAGGUUUCCUACAAAUCUUCUCAUGUCCCUACAAAUGAUAAUUUCUCUACAAGUCAGGUUUGUAAAGUUCCAACAAGUCUCUUCAUAUUCCUACAAGCCUCUUUAUGUCCCUAAAAGUCCUGUUUCUACACAUUCCAAAAGUGUCUUCAUGUCCCUAAAAGAACAUUUAUUGACACAAACAAAAACCUUUCUGUUAGACGUUCAUACCUGUAACAUCAAAGCUCCCGGGCGAGCAUCCAGCGCUUCUGGAGCUCCGCCCACUGCAAUGACGGCAACGUUUCCUCCUUGAGGACGACUCAGCAGGUAGGAGAGGCCGGACUUGGAGCUUGACACCAGACCUGAGGGACACAGAGGUGCCACAUUGUUCUCUUUGUUUGCGCUUCAAACGAAUCAGAACCUCUGGAAAAUGUAGCGCAUCAGACAGACAAUCGGGAGGCGGCACCUGGUCACUGCUUCACAUGUCCCCACAAGUCUUCAUGAAACUAAUUAAGUCUAAGUCUCUUCACAAUAAUAAGUCAGACAGACAUACAGACAGGUGUGUACCUCCACACAUGAUAUAAUCUCUGAAGAUCGGCACUCGGAACCAGAAGGGAAACAUGAGCAGGUGAGACUUCAGUCCAGGAAAAAGACUGGAGAAACCCGUGGACUCAGUGCAGAAGUUACAGAACGCCCCGGUGGCCAGCACGCCUGGCGAGGCAGACGGGCGGCGAGUCAGACGGGCGAGACAGACACAGACAGGUGGACAAACCGGUACGCGUCUCACCGUGUGGAUGAAAUCCAAAUAUGUAGUUCUUGUCAGGGUCCAGGUCGACCGUUUUCACCAGCUGAAGACAAACGAGACCCGUCAAGUCUGCGUCGCGCGACACACUCGUGACUCGUUCGUGCGAGUGAAGACACCUUUACGGGAAAGUAGUCGCGGAAAUGUUCCCACACGCUCCAGCGCUGGAUCCACUGGCACCGGCGACCUCCGCGGUUGGGCGUGUCCCGGUCCAGCCACAGCCAGCCGGCGUACAGAAAUGCCACCAUCCACCAGGCGGACAGAGACAGGAGGAUGAAGGCGGCGAGACAACAUUGGGCUGAGGGACACAUGGAAGACAUGUUCAAACCAGUGUCAUCAUUGAUCAUGAUUUUCUUGCUCCCCCCAAAAAACAAGAAUUAGACACAUUGUUGUUAUUAUAGGAAUAUUUAGAGACAACCAUUUAUUAUUAUUAUUCUUUAAUAUAAUUAUAUACAGAG